AUUGAAACCAAAAAGAGGUUUAUCACUGUUAAUGAUAUUAAUGAAAAAUUUCCAAU
rnacentral:tRNA from 1 species